rnacentral:rRNA from 1 species
UACGUAGGGGGCGAGCGUUGUCCGGAUUUAUUGGGCGUAAAGAGCGUGUAGGCGGCCAGGUAGGUCUGCUGUGAAAACUCGAGGCUCAACCUCGAGACGUCGGCGGAAACCAUCUGGCUAGAGUCCGGAAGAGGAGAGUGGAAUUCCUGGUGUAGCGGUGAAAUGCGCAGAUAUCGGGAAGAACACCCGUGGCGAAGGCGGUUCUCUGGACGGUACUGACGCUGAGACGCGAAAGCGUGGGGAGCGAACAGG